rnacentral:lncRNA from 1 species
GACCGCCCUCCGGGUUGUGGCUGGUGGCCUUCGGUGUUUCGGGUUUGGCAGUUCACUCACCAAGAGAAGGGAGAAGACAGAGGAGAAUGCCAGAUGAAGACAGAAACAGAGAUUGAAGUUAUGUGGCCAUAAUUCAAGGAUUGCUGGCAACACCAGAAGCCAAGAGAAAGAUGAGGAAGAAUUCUCCCCUAGACCUUUCAGAAGGAGCGUGGCCCAGCCAACACCCUGACUUCAGACUUCUGGCCUCCAGAACUGUGAGAAUAAAUUCUUACUGUUGUAAUCCACCUGAUAUGU